AACAGGUGAAGGAUACGAUCCAGCAAGGACAUGGUUAUAACACAGUCGGAUGUCUGUAGUGCCUGAUGAGGAAGAUCCCCCUGCUCCCACCACGUAGCGGCGUUUCAGCUCCAGAUAAUGUUUUCUGUGCGUAAUAACUUCCACAGUCUGUGGGAACCUCGUCGGCACAGCGUGGGUUUGUCCACCUUUAAUCAGCGUGCAGGCAGGAGGAAGGCUGCCCACCCCUGCGCAUGGGUUGGUGCGCUGCCUCUUGGGGAAUGGUUUGCUCUCUCGCCUGUCAGUAAGCCUGAGCCGAACAGGUCAGCCAGCACUGCAUCAGAUCGUUUGGGAAGUCUGCGGGGCUGCCGGGCAUAAGGAUAAAGUUCUUUAAAAGGCGUCAUUGCGUGAAGACUGACAGUGCAGCCAGGAACCACAGUUAAAACCAGCCAUUGAUUUGUUUCCUGCUUGAGUGCCAUAAAACAUUUUCAAGAAAUGGAAGAAGAUAAAGGGCAGAGUGCUAAAGCUACCAGUGCAGUGGGUGACUUGAGGAAAAGUUGGCAGACCUGGGCAGAGGAUCACAUUGAGUAUCAGAGAAAGAACCCGUUCAGCAACGACAACAGGCUUGCAUCUAAACUUGUGCAUACUCACAGAGGAGACCCUACCUACGGGAGACCCCCUGAAGGGUCUCAGACAGAGCAGAGAGGGAAGGAUGCUCACUCACACGUGGGAAAGGAAGUAGAAGAGCUAUGCUUGAUCAUUAGAAACACAGGAGAGGUGGGAGAAGAUGGACAUGUGAGUGUGACAUUCGGGCAGCUGUUUGAAACAUACGUGACUAUUUCCAAUAAAGUAGUGGGAAUCUUGUUAAGAGCCAGAAAACACGGUCUGGUUCAUUUUCAAGGUGAAAUGCUUUGGCAAGGAAAAGAUGAUGACGUGAUCAUCACUUUACUAGAAUAAGGCUUUGUCAUCUAAUGAAUUCUGCUGCAUAGUUCCAUUUGGAAAAACAUAUCUAGAUACCAUUUUGAAAGGGGUUUUCAUUACAGAAUUUUAACUCAGCUACUUAUUGGGACAUGAGCAGGAGUGAAAAUGAGCGAGAAGGAUAAAAAAUAUUUUUGUAAAAAUGGUAGAGAUUUGGACAGAAAUCACAGAUAAUGAACUAAUCCAUCACGCUGCCAUUGGAUUGUCCUUUCAUUAUUAUCAUCCACUACCAAGUAUACCGUGGUUCUUCAGAUAACUCUGCUGGCUUACUGCUUUAGGUUACUGAAAGUAUAAAUUACUAACUUGCUACCAUACAACACUGAUUCUUGCAGGUUGUGAAAUAUUCGAUGUGUGUGGGAUUUUGAUUUGUAAAACAUGGAAUUGAAAACUUU